rnacentral:rRNA from 1 species
ACAGCAGUCGCCGCGGUAAUACGGAGGGUGCAAGCGUUAUCCGGAUUUAUUGGGUUUAAAGGGUCCGUAGGCGGAUCUGUAAGUCAGUGGUGAAAUCUCACAGCUUAACUGUGAAACUGCCAUUGAUACUGCAGGUCUUGAGUAAAUUUGAAGUGGCUGGAAUAAGUAGUGUAGCGGUGAAAUGCAUAUAUAUUACUUAGAACACCAAUUGCGAAGGCAGGUCACUAAGAUUUAACUGACGCUGAUGGACGAAAGCGUGGGGAGCGAACAGGAUUAGAUACCCCCGUAGUCCCUGUCUCUUAUAC